CCAUUAAACUUGAAGUUAAUUAGUAUGGGAAGACUGUAAUUUAUCGAGAUUGCCUGAAUGGAAGUAAGGGCGUUGCUAUUUAAUUAGCAAGUGCAUUUGGAUUUUUAGAUUUUUUUUUCCUUUUUGAUUUUAUUCAAAAUAAUUGUAAGUGCUUUGCAUACAAUGAAAGAAGAGUAGAUUAAGGACAGGCGACUGAAAGGACAUUAAAAAACUAUGACAUAAUAUUAAUUUUUUUGCCAUUAAGUGCGUGCUUUUGAUCAGAUAAGACAACUUUUAUUGCUGUGGUCUAUUCUCAUUUUGUAUCUUAAUUAUGCCUGGAAAGAUUCUUUAAAUGACAAAGUCCUAAUUUAUAUUACCACAAAGGACCAAUCUUACAGAGUUAUUAAACCAGAACGUGCCUGUUCGUUGCUUCUUCUCCUUCCCUGUUUCUGAGACCUUCCACUGACGUCAUGGGCACCUUCAGCUGAUUUCCAGAAAAGUUUACACUCAGCUGUGUUUUAUACGGUGGGCUGCUUUCCUUGUUUUCCUUAAUUUAGGAUAACUCAUUGUAGAUUGAAACUUCACUAACAUCACUGCUUCUCCAAAUUAACAAGUGAUGGGACAAGAGGAAAUGGCCUCAAGUUGCACCAGAGGAUAUUAGCAAAAAUUUCUUUGCCAAAAAGGCUGUCAAGCACUGGAACAGGCUGCCCAGGGACGCAGUGGAGUCACCAUCCGUGGAGGGAUUUAAGAGAUGUGUGAAUGUGGCGUUUGGGGAUGUGGUUCAUUGGUGGCCUUGGAAGUGCUGGGGAACGGUUGGACACGAUGAUCUUCUUUCCAAAGUAAGUGGUUCUGUAAUUUACAGCUACUCUCCUCCAUGAAGAGUGAAGCUGCUGCUGCUCACAGGAGGGGACUUGGCCCUCCAGUUCCUAAUCCUGCAGCAUGUCCCAGUAAGGUACAGUGGGAUGGGGCAUUGUCAUGACAAGUGCACUGAAUAAAGUAGAGAAAAUUCUCUCUGGGGAGCACACAACAUGCUCAGUCCGUCCAUCCAUCCAUCCAUCCAUCCAUCCAUGGCCUCCCAGCGAGGGACACAAGAUUUGCCCUGUACAUGACAGCAUUUCGGCACAGUGAUGACCCCGACCUUCGGGGCUGUGAUGACCCCGCGUCGUGUGGUCUCACGGCUGCAUGGGGACCCCCCAGACCCUCGGCCCUAGCGCUGUUUUUCGGGAACGCGGCCGCCCCUCAGCCCGUCCGGUCCCCUCGGCGCGGGGCUGGCGCGGCCAUGGCGCUGAGGGCGGCUGAGGGGCAUCCCCGUGCGGCGGGCGCCCCCUGCCGGCCGCCUGUGCCCCACAGGGCCCGGCCUGGGCUCCGCGGGCCGCAGGAAACCCCCGAGAGCGCCGGCAGAGAGAAACCUCAAACACCGCCUUUUUAAACCCUCCGGGAUAGACAGAGCCUCUAACACCGCCUUUUUAAACCCUCCGGGAUAGACGGAACCUCUAACACCGCCUUUUAGUGGUAGCGAGUAAGGUGUUACUGUGUUCUUGCUCAAGAGGUAUUUGCAGCUGCCUCUGCAUGAGCAAGCUCCAUAUCUCUACAUGGCUCCCUUCUGCCUCCUGUGAACAGUGAUAAUAUCACUUCCCUGCCUCCCAAGACUGCUGGAUCUAUAACACAUUCCUGAAACCUCAUCCGCAGGCUGGCUAAUCCACAAUUGUCCCUAACCUGUUUGAGACUGCAGGUUCCCUGACAGGUGGGACUCCGUGCUGCUCAGACUCCCUGCUCCUCACCUGCUGGCCGCACUUUGAUCCCGUGGUACGUCUGCAGCAUCGCCACGCCGUUCUCCACCCUAACGCUGAGGCAAUACUGUCCCGCGUCCCUGAAGGUGUGGCUGAGGUUGUAGCAGGAGCCACUGAUCUCCACCAGAUGGCAUUUGUCACCUUCAAGUGGAAUGCAUUCGGAUUUUAUAAGCCAGCAUAAUGCCAGUGGUGGGCUGAAACGACAAGAGAAAAGAGGCAAAAUUUAAAAAAAGGUGAAAAUGCUGCAAAAAUUUCAGCAAAGAACUUGGUUAAAAUAGCAGAAUAAUUUUGAAACUAAUGACGUUAAUCUAAACACAAAUAAAGAAGUAGUUAACUGCACAGUUGUUUGGUUUAUAGCAUUUGCCAAAUGAAAAAGUUCUUUGUGAUGCUUCUAUAAAGGCAAGCCUUUCAGCUGAGAGCUGAAUACCUGCAAGGGUCAACAGCAGGCCACUGUGUGUAGAAAAUAGUCCUUCUUCCAUAGUCCUUCUUCAAUAAAGAUAAAAGGAAUCUUUUUUCCCUGCACUCCAAGGGAAGGUUAUUUUUCCUUUGUCCUUCUCGCACAGAAAUCACUGUCUGUACCGCUGAAGCACAUCCAAGACUGUUCUAAUUUUAAAAAACCCACAAAUGAAACUGCAAAGAAUAUAAGAUGAGCUCUGUACAAAGGACUAAUAGCCAGAAAAUGUAAGUAAGUUUCAAGGAUCACAGCACCCCUUACAUUAACAAAAGGUUUUUUAUUUGCCAUCAAGCAAUUUAGUGCAACCCCCUUCAUGGCCAUGUGGCCUCUCACCACAUCUAAUUGAAGCCUUUUAUUUACCCUUCCAGAUCCCUCUUUCAACUGAUUCUGCUUGAACUCACCUUAUGCACUAUAGACUUUGAUUCUGAUAACAGCCAGAGCUUUUCCUUACCCUAUUUUAUUACAAUUUUGUUUCUUAUCUCUUUACAAUGACCGUUGGCUAAAGAAAGCAUUGUGUUUAUGUGUUUAUCUCAUUUUCAAGCUUUGUUUUUGAUAACCCAUCUCUUUGUCACUGCAUCUCUAUCUUAAGCUCCUCUUGCAUCAGUGCCAGUCCCGUGACUAGGAGGUUACCAAGCCUGCUUUCAUUGAUCUCAGGUUUGCCUGUCAUAGUUUUUGGCUGUUCACAUUCACUGGUAUGCCAUCUCCAGUUCCCAUUCCUGCCGAUGUGCCUUUCACUUUCUGAAUGCAAACUGUGCUGCUUUGUCUGUUGGGACUGUUUAUGCCUCUGGCAAACGACUCUGUGUUUGGGUGCUGCUUGCUCCAAAACUCCAAUGUGUUCUAAUGCUGCAACUUGAGAGAGCUUGUGCUGGGAUUGUGGUGCUCACAACUCUCCUGUUUUCCUAUAAUCCUUGCUGCAUGGAGCUUCUAUAUCUUAUCCAUUUUGUGGCAAUCAUAACUUUCCCAGAAUUACUCCCCAAGCCUAUUAAUCCCCUAUGCCAGCCAAGUUUGCUGCUAUGCAACAGGACUUGGGAUAUAUUUUAAUUUAAUAGUGGGGAAAUUGGUGAAGGACAAAAAUUCAAAAGGAAGUUUUCAGAUGUGUUUUUCCCCACUAUUUCUCUGGCUACUUGUCUUUUAACAUUCUCUUUACAAAGAUAAAAAAAAUAACAUUUGCUUUACAUAGGAGAAUUCUAGUUUUCUGUAAAAAUGCAGGUUCUUUCAGGCUCUAGAGCUCAUGGUAUUUCAAGUCAGGAAAAUGCAAUAUUCAAUGGUAUUUUGCUCAAAGAAAAUUUGGUUGGUUUUUUUUUUUUUUUUUUUUUUUUUACGUAACUUGUGUGGGGUGCAACUGACUAUAUUAAGGAAACACUGGGGGAAACCACAGACAAUUUUUGGGAGGAAAGAAGUUGUGCUUUCUACUUACGUGCCGUUGAUAUGAAGAGAUAAAUUCAGGUUUUCCAUUACCUGAGUCUCUCUGGAGCCCACUACGUUGAUACUUUUAACAGCAUCUGAGAAGAAAUGAAAAGGCAGCAUGUCACACUCCACAUGUAAACUUGAGUCUCACUGGUUUCCCAGUGAAGGUUUUUUUCCACAGACUUGCAGAUUGGAGCUCCAUCAGUCACACAAAUAAUACUACUUGUCUGACACCCCGCAAGGAAACCUACCAAGAGAGAUGAUAUGAACAUCUGAAUCAGAGCCAUCUUGAAUACUUGUUAAAGCAGACAAAGUAAGCACACCUACCCAUCUCCAAAAUCCCAGUUGUAGACAAAUGAUGCUGACUGGAAGUAAUGACUUGGGUCAUGAAGAGAGAAAGAAAUCCGGGUCACUGUGUCUGUGGAGGAUCUAGAACCAUGUGUGGUAACUCUGCUGUCUUCUAUCAGGGCAAGGGAGCCACCACACUGCUAACAGGGACCUGAAUCUUUGACCUUCAGAAGUUGUAUUUCUCACUCAUCCAUGACCUCGAAUGUGAAAGGAGCAUUGGGGCCAGCUAACUCCCUUGCUGGCUUUUCUGCCCCCAUCAGCUUGGACGGGAUGAAAGGGACUGCAUUUGUGCCUGCAUUCUUUUUUACAGAUCACAGGUGCUGAGCAAUUCUGGAGGCAGAAGGACUGUGAGAAAUGAACUGUAACGUUACUGCCUGCGAAAGAACUCCACUGUUCCCAUUUCACAGCACAAGAAAUGGCCCUGGGUUCAAUUUUUUGAGUUAAAAGAGAAAUGCUUGUGUUUUGAUGAAAUCUGGCACAGGGAGGUUUCAUGUCUCUAGAAGAAUCAGGCUAUGCUCCACUUUGUUUCAGCAGAAUUCAGGAAAAAAUAGCCAACUAACUCAUGCUUAUCUAGCACUUCUCCUUGGAGGUUAUCAUGGUGCUUUGCAAAUCAGGGCCAUACCGGCCUGAGAGGUGCAGCAGCUGGAGGUUCAGUGGCUAAUCCAAGGUCACCCAGGGAGCGACCGGCACAGCAAGACAUUCCAUCCAAGUCAGGGAUUUCUCCUACCUUUCCGACCUGUCUCUGCAGAAUGGAGCUCUGUGAGUCCCACAGCGAGGGACAGCGGCUGCCCAGGUGCCUUGUGACCCGCGGCGCGAGGUCAGCGGAGGAAGCAGAAGUGCAGCUUUUGAGUUAGAAGUGCAAAGCAGAACCCCGGCUGCCCGGGAUGCCCCACCUUCACUGCAGGCACCAAGAUCACAGAGCCUGAGAAUAAAGUCUGGGGUGGUGGGAGCGUGCCAAGAGCUGCUUCCAUCCCUUGUCACAUCUAUCAAGCUCGGGCAGGGAACCCCCCACAACAGUGAUGCAGCUCACGUCUGAGGUCUGAGCCCUCGCCCCCCGCACCCCUCGCCCGCUGCCCGGCGGCGAUACCAGCGCAGACCGGCGGCCCCUUACCUGCGGCCGGGGAGCGACCGUGGCCGAGCUGCAGCAGCAGCAGCAGCAGCAGCACGCAGAGCAGCUGCCGCAUGCUGGGGGCCGCGGCUCGGUGCCGCC